CUUGACCCCUCUCAUUCCAGGCCUGCUUUCCCUGGUUCCAAGGCUCCCUGGCUCCACACUGGCAGAGGGGACCCUGCCAUGGAGUGGCCUGAACGUUAAGCAGGGAGAUCCUGGGAUUGGAGCGUCUGUAAACCCCAGAAAUGCAUUGGCUCACCAAGCUACACUUGUGAAUCCCUCUUGGGCCCAUUGUUGGUGUUCCAGGUCAUAGAAUGUGAUAUGAGAAAGUGUACGGCUCAGCGUGAUUCCUCAAGACACCAAGAAUGCAGUGUGACCAUGUGACUUCAUUGCUUCACCAUAACUAAAGUCCACACAUACUGUC